CCCCUUUAGUUUACACUGGGGUUGUCAAAGGAUUUAAAUAAAUGAAACUUUAUUUGACCGUGGAGUUUACAGACCCUGGGACCCCUGCGCUCUCUGGCCUUAUUCUAAUUCUAUAGCGGUAAUUACCCUUCGUUUCUUUAAGUGCAAUAGAUUUAUUGCCUUAGAGACUAUGCACAGUUUGAUUGAAUUAUUCAUUUUUUCUUUGGUGUAGACUGCAUCUGGGGACUGAUGUGACGUGUAGAUUUUUUUUUUCAGGAACAAAGGGAAUGUGGAAAUGAAAGAGAGAGGGAGAGAGAGGCUGGCAGAUGUGAUGAGAUGCGGUGAAGGUGUAUCCAGCUUGGCACUCCCACUCCUCUCUUCUCCUCUCAUUGCAGCCCUGGGUGACUCUCAGGCUAACACAAACAGCUUUUCUUCCGCAGCCUGCCCUCUGUCACUGUCAGUUUCAUGAAUUCAAAAGCAACUUACCAGUGAUUUCUGGGAGCUGGGGCUGAUUCUCUUGUGUAUUUGUAAGAAUUUCUUCCA